rnacentral:rRNA from 1 species
CCUACGGGAGGCUGCAGUGAGGAAUAUUGGUCAAUGGGCGCGAGCCUGAACCAGCCAAGUAGCGUGAAGGAUGACUGCCCUACGGGUUGUAAACUUCUUUUAUAAAGGAAUAAAGUGAGGCACGUGUGCCUUUUUGUAUGUACUUUAUGAAUAAGGAUCGGCUAACUCCGUGCCAGCAGCCGCGGUAAUACGGCGGAUCCGAGCGUUAUCCGGAUUUAGUGGGUUUAAAGGGAGCGUAGAUGGGUUGGUAAGUCAGUUGUGAAAGUUUGAGGCUCAACCGUAAAAUUGCAAUUGAUACUGGCAGUCUGGAGUACAGGUGAGGUAGGCGGAAUUCGGGGUGUAGCGGUGAAAUGCGUAGAUAUCACGAAGAACGCCGAUUGCGAAGGCAGCUUACUAAACUGCCACUGACAUUGAGGCGCGAAAGUGUGGGGAGCAAACAGGAUUAGAGACCCUUGUAGUC